rnacentral:tRNA from 1 species
CACAGCGUAGCUUAAACCCCAUAAAGCAUCUGGUCUACACCCAGAAGACUCCAUAUCCAACGGACGCUAUGA